rnacentral:rRNA from 1 species
AUUGAACGCUGGCGGCAUGCUUUACACAUGCAAGUCGAACGGCAGCGCGGGCUUCGGCCUGGCGGCGAGUGGCGAACGGGUGAGUAAUACAUCGGAACGUGCCCAGUAGUUGGGGAUAGCUCGGCUACAGCCGGAUUAAUACCGCAUACGACCUGAGGGUGAAAGCGGGGGAUCUUCGGACCUCGCGCUAUUGGAGCGGCCGAUGGCAGAUUAGCUAGUUGGUGGGGUAAAGGCCUACCAAGGCGACGAUCUGUAGCUGGUCUGAGAGGACGACCAGCCACACUGGGACUGAGACACGGCCCAGACUCCUACGGGAGGCAGCAGUGGGGAAUUUUGGACAAUGGGCGAAAGCCUGAUCCAGCAAUGCCGCGUGUGUGAUGAAGGCCUUCGGGUUGUAAAGCACUUUUGGCGGGAACGAAAAGGACUGUGCCAAUACCACGGUUCGAUGACGGUACCCGCAGAAUAAGCACCGGCUAACUACGUG